CAGAUUUUCUAUCCUUUCAAUGAGAAAGAAGGACUUUCCAGUGAUUGAAAACAUCUCGUUGCUGAAAAUGGGGCUCCUCCUUCCUAAUCUUUGAUUUAUCUUUGGCUACAAACGCCCUAAAAAAAAGUGUAUUGGAUGAACCGGCUCCCUACUCCCCAGCCCUAGGCCCCUCCGUGGUCCAGGGCUCCAGUUUCCCACACAGGCAGCUUCGAGGGCUGGAGAGGGGGUGUUCCCCCCACCCCGUGCUCAGAGAGGCAGCCUAGUAACUGCUUCCCACUCUGGCCUGAGGGUACACGUGGAGGCUGUGAGGCAGCGCACAUGGAUGAAGGACCAGCCUUGCGUUCAGCUGCUGGGUCACCGGCAACUCGGGGCAUCGCAGGGAGAGUUGCCUCCACGUGCACCUGCAGGAAGCCGCGCCUCCGGGAGUCGCCAGCAGGAGGCGCGCGGCUGCGGCCCGUCGAGGUCGGCAGCACCGCCACCUGCUGGCCGCGCGGUGAACCGAGGCUGCGCGGGCCCUGCGUUCCCAGCGUCCCGGGGGCGGCAGGGUUCUUCCUUAAGAAAGUACCUGGACUUUCCCCGGGAAGUCUGAGCUGCCCUGUGCCAGGAGUCCACAGGGUGUCCUCCUCUGUUCCGCCCUCUGCUGCUCCACCCUGUUCUAGUUCCGGGUCUGAAGACGCUCUACCCUCUAUUACAAUGAGCUCAUACAUUUUGGCAAGAAGUGCUGUGUCCUUGGGCAUCGUAACAGGGAUAACACAGCAUCCAUCUGUCUCUUGGCCAGCAAUGUUCACCUUGAUAUCAUGCAUCUAUCCAUGGGCCUUGUCUACAGUUCUCACUGUUGUGGAGCCCCCUACCAAGGUCACAGGUGUGAGGCUUUGUACCAAGGUCACAAGUGUGGAGCUCUGCACCAAGGUCAUCUCCGGAACUGACUGAACUCCAGAGCAACCGUUGCCAUGAGCCCCCUGGAUCUAAACCAGCCAGUUCUCAAGCCCCAUGUUAGGUAAAAAUACCCGCCCUAACUGUUAGGUAGUUAGAAUAGGAAAAAGGAGUCCAAAAUGGCGGCGGCUAAAAGACAAAGAAGGGAGAAGCCCACGAAAAUAGAACAAAGGAAUGUCCGAGGACAGGAGUGAGGACCUCAGAUAAAACAAACAGCACUCCCGGCCAGCCCAAUUUACACAGGGCAGACUCAGGAGAGGAGACAAAUGUGUAAAAGGAAGAAGCCUAGAAGGAUUGGGGGCUUCUCUUCUCUUCACAUCUUUCGAGUCAGCCCGCCCUCACGCCUCAAGGAUAUAUUUUCCUUUGCUUUCUAAAUAAAACUGAGCUGUAACAUGGAGCUGGUCUGUAACAUGUAAAGGAAGAAAUAAAACUGGCAUAAUUCACA